GACAGAGGCCACGAACGUUGUUCGGAAUCACUGGGCUUAAAGCGUGUGUAGGCGGAUUGGUAAGUACUUUGUGAAAUCCCACGGCUUAACCGUGGAACUGCUUGGUAUACUGCCAGUCUUGAGCCAGCUAGGGGCUACCGGAACAAAUGGUGGAGCGGUGAAAUGCGUAGAUAUCAUUUGGAACGCCAAUGGUGAAAACAGGUAGCUGGGGCUGUGCUGACGCUGAGACACGAAAGCCAGGGGAGCAAACGGG
rnacentral:rRNA from 1 species